rnacentral:tRNA from 1 species
GCGCCCAUAGCUCAGCUGGAUAGAGCAUCGGCCUUCUAAGCCGAGGGUCGGAGGUUCGAGUCCUCUUGGGCGCG